GACGAACGCUGGCGGCGUGCCUAAUACAUGCAAGUCGAGCGGAACCUUUGGAGCUUGCUCAAUANGGUUUAGCGGCGGAGGGGUGAGUAACACGUGGGCAACCUGCCCUGCAGAUCGGGAUAACUCCGGGAAACCGGUGCUAAUACCGAAUAGUUUUUUGCCCCUCCUGGGNGAAACGGAAAGACGGUUUCGGCUGUCACUGCAGGAUGGGCCCGCGGCGCAUUAGCUAGUUGGUGGGGUAAUGGCCCACCAAGGCGACGAUGCGUANCCGACCUGAGAGGGUGAUCGGCCACACUGGGACUGAGACACGGCCCAGACUCCUACGGGAGGCAGCAGUAGGGAAUCUCCGCAAUGGACGCAAGUCUGACGGAGCAACGCCGCGUGAGUGACGAAGGUUUUCGGAUCGUAAAACUCUGUUGUGAGGGAAGAACAAGUACCAAGUAACUACUGGUACCUUGACGGUACCUCACCAGAAAGCCACGGCUAACUACGUGCCAGCAGCCGCGGUAAUACGUAGGUGGCAAGCGUUGUCCGGAAUUAUUGGGCGUAAAGCGCGCGCAGGCGGUCCCUUAAGUCUGAUGUGAAAGCCCACGGCUCAACCGUGGAGGGUCAUUGGAAACUGGGGGACUUGAGUGCAGAAGAGGAAAGUGGAAUUCCACGUGUAGCGGUGAAAUGCGUAGAGA
rnacentral:rRNA from 1 species